GACGAACGCUGGCGGCGUGCUUAACACAUGCAAGUCGAGCGGAAAGGCCCUGCUUUUGUGGGGUGCUCGAGUGGCGAACGGGUGAGUAACACGUGAGUAACCUGCCCUUGACUUUGGGAUAACUUCAGGAAACUGGGGCUAAUACCGGAUAGGAGCUCCUGCUGCAUGGUGGGGGUUGGAAAGUUUCGGCGGUUGGGGAUGGACUCGCGGCUUAUCAGCUUGUUGGUGGGGUAGUGGCUUACCAAGGCUUUGACGGGUAGCCGGCCUGAGAGGGUGACCGGCCACAUUGGGACUGAGAUACGGCCCAGACUCCUACGGAAGGCAGCAGUGGGGAAUAUUGCACAAUGGGCGGAAGCCUGAUGCAGCAACGCCGCGUGCGGGAUGACGGCCUUCGGGUUGUAAACCGCUUUCGCCUGUGACGAAGCGUGAGUGACGGUAAUGGGUAAAGAAGCACCGGCUAACUACGUGCCAGCAGCCGCAGUAACAC
rnacentral:rRNA from 1 species